rnacentral:tRNA from 1 species
GAUAGUUUAAUAAAAAUAAUAAUUUGUGGUGUUAUUGAUGAAAGACUUCAUAUAAGUUAUAA